GGUUAAAAUCACUGUCCAAAACCUUUGUAGGAACUCUUUUCCAACCUUUUGGAGUUAGUUAGACCAAAUAAAAAUUAAUAAUGAAAAAAAAAUGUUUGGGGUGUUUGGGCUUCCUGAAGGUAAUACCCAGGUAUUAGGUUUAGGGGCUAGGGGAAGGUUUAAGGUUUUUGGCGUUAGGGUUAAAAUCACUGUCCAAAACCUUUGUAGUAACUCUUUUCCAACCUUUUGGAGUUAGUUAGACUAAAAAAAAAGAAAGAUGAAAAAAAAAAAUAUUUGGGGUUUUCGGGCUUCCUGAAGGUAAUACUUUAAUAAUAUUAGGUUUUGGGGCUAGGGUAAGGUUUAAGGUUUUUGGCGUUAGGGUUAAAAUGACUGUCCAAAACCUAUUUAGGAACAUGUUUCAGACCUUUUGGAAAUGGUUACACCAAAUAAAAAUAAAAAAUAAAAAAUAAAUAUUUGGGGUGUUCGGGCUUCCUGAAGGUAAUACCCGGGUAUAAGUUUUGGGGCUAUGGUAAGGUUUAAGGUUUUUGGCGUUAGGGUUAAAAUCACUCUCCAAAACCUUUGUAGGAACUCUUUUCCAACCAUUUGGAGUUAGUUAGACCAAAUAAAAAUGAAAAAUGAAAAAAACAAUAUUUGGCUUGUUUUGGCUUUCUGAAGAUAAUGCACGGGUAUUAGGUUAUGGGGCUAUGGUAAGGUUUAAGGUUUUUGGCGUUAGGGUUAAAAUCACUGUCCAAAACCUUUGUAGGAUCUCUUUUCCAAGCUUUUGGAGUUAGUUAGACCAAAAAAAAAGAAAAAUGAAAAAAAAAUAUUUGUGGUGUUCGGGCUUCCUGAAGAUAAUACCCGGGUAUUAGGUUAUGGGGCUAUGGUAAGGUUUAAGGUUUUGGGCGUUAGGGUUAAAAUCACUGUCCAAAACCUUUGUAGGAUCUCUUUUCCAACCUUUUGGAGUUAGUUAGACCAAAUAAAAAUGAAAAAUGAAAAAAAAAAUAUUUGGGGUGUUUGGGCUUCCUGAAGGUAAUACCCGGGUAUUAAGAUUUGGGGCUAGGGUAAGGUUUAAGGUUUUGGCGUCAGGGUUUAAAUCACUGUCCAAAACCUUUGUAGGAACUAUUUUCCAAGCUUUUGGAGUUAGUUAGACCAAAAAGAAAUGAAAAAUGAAAAAAAAAUAUUUGUGGUGUUCGGGCUUCCUGAAGAUAAUACACGGGUAUUAGGUUUUGUGGCUAGGGAAAGGUUUAAGGUUUUUGGCGUUAGGGUUAAAAUCACUGUCCAAAACCUUUGUAGGAACUCUUUUCCAACCAUUUGGAGUUAGUUAGACCAAAUAAAAAUGAAAAAUGAAAAAAACAAUAUUUGGCUUGUUUUGGCUUCCUGAAGAUAAUGCACGGGUAUUAGGUUAUGGGGCUAUGGUAAGGUUUAAGGUUUUUGGCGUUAGGGUUAAAAUCACUGUCCAAAACCUUUGUAGGAUCUCUUUUCCAAGCCUUUUGGAGUUAGUUAGACCAAAAACAAAUGAAAAAUGAAAAAAAAAUAUUUGGGGUGUUUGGGCUUCCUGAAGGUAAUACCCGGGUAUUAGGUUAUGGGGCUGGGGUAAGGUUUAAGGUUUUUGGCGUUAGGGUUAAAAUCACUGUCCAAAACCUUUGUAGUAACUCUUUUCCAAGCUUUUGGAGUUAGUUAGACCAAAAAAAAGAAAAAUGAAAAAAAAAUAUUUGGGGUGUUUGGGCUUCCUGAAGGUAAUACCCGGGUAUUAAGAUUUGGGGCUAGGGUAAGGUUUAAGGUUUUGGCGUCAGGGUUUAAAUCACUGUCCAAAACCUUUGUAGGAACUAUUUUCCAAGCUUUUGGAGUUAGUUAGACCAAAAAGAAAUGAAAAAUGAAAAAAAAAAUAUUUGUGGUGUUCGGGCUUCCUGAAGAUAAUACACUGGUAUUAGGUUUUGGGGCUAGGGAAAGGUUUAAGGUUUUUGGCGUUAGGGUUAAAAUCACUGUCCAAAACGUUUGUAGGAACUCUUUUCCAACCAUUUGGAGUUAGUUAGACCAAAUAAAAAUGAAAAAUGAAAAAAACAAUAUUUGGCUUGUUUUGGCUUCCUGAAGAUAAUGCACGGGUAUUAGGUUAUGGGGCUAUGGUAAGGUUUAAGGUUUUUGGCGUUAGGGUUAAAAUCACUGUCCAAAACCUUUGUAGGAUCUCUUUUCCAAGCUUUUGGAGUUAGUUAGACCAAAAAAAAUGAAAAAAAAAAAAAAAUAUUUGGGGUUGUUUGGGCUUCCUGAAGGUAAUACCCGGGUAUUAGGUUAUGGGGCUAUGGUAAGGUUUAAGGUUUUGGGCGUUAGGGUUAAAAUCACUGUCCAAAACCUUUGUAGGAACUCUUUUCCAACCUUUUGGAGUUAGUUAGACCAAAUAAAAAUUAAUAAUGAAAAAAAAAUAUUUGGGGUGUUUGGGCUUCCUGAAGGUAAUACCCGGGUAUUAGGUUUGGGGCUAGGGUAAGGUUUAAGGUUUUGGCGUUAGGGUUAAAAUCACUGUCCAAAACCUUUGUAGUAACUCUUUUCCAACCUUUUGGAGUUAGUUAGACCUAAAAAAAAAGAAAAAUGAAAAAAAAAUAUUUGGGGUUUUCGGGCUUCCUGAAGGUAAUACUUUAAUAAUAUUAGGUUUUGGGGCUAGGGUAAGGUUUAAGGUUUUUGGCGUUAGGGUUAAAAUGACUGUCCAAAACCUAUUUAGGAACAUGUUUCAGACCUUUUGGAAAUGGUUACACCAAAUAAAAAUAAAAAAUAAAAAAUAAAUAUUUGGGGUGUUCGGGCUUCCUGAAGGUAAUACCCGGGUAUAAGUUUUGGGGCUAUGGUAAGGUUUAAGGUUUUUGGCGUUAGGGUUAAAAUCACUCUCCAAAACCUUUGUAGGAACUCUUUUCCAACCAUUUGGAGUUAGUUAGACCAAAUAAAAAUGAAAAAUGAAAAAAACAAUAUUUGGCUUGUUUUGGCUUUCUGAAGAUAAUGCACGGGUAUUAGGUUAUGGGGCUAUGGUAAGGUUUAAGGUUUUUGGCGUUAGGGUUAAAAUCACUGUCCAAAACCUUUGUAGGAUCUCUUUUCCAAGCUUUUGGAGUUAGUUAGACCAAAAAAAAAGAAAAAUGAAAAAAAAAUAUUUGUGGUGUUCGGGCUUCCUGAAGAUAAUACCCGGGUAUUAGGUAAUGGGGCUAUGGUAAGGGUUUAAGGUUUUGGGCGUUAGGGUUAAAAUCACUGUCCAAAACCUUUGUAGGAUCUCUUUUCCAACCUUUUGGAGUUAGUUAGACCAAAUAAAAAUGAAAAAUGAAAAAAAAAUAUUUGGGGUGUUUGGGCUUCCUGAAGGUAAUACCCGGGUAUUAAGAUUUGGGGCUAGGGUAAGGUUUAAGGUUUUGGCAUCAGGGUUAAAAUCACUGUCCAAAACCUUUGUAGGAACUAUUUUCCAAGCUUUUGGAGUUAGUUAGACCAAAAAGAAAUGAAAAAUGAAAAAAAAAUAUUUGUGGUGUUCGGGCUUCCUGAAGAUAAUACACGGGUAUUAGGUUUUGUGGCUAGGGAAAGGUUUAAGGUUUUUGGCGUUAGGGUUAAAAUCACUGUCCAAAACCUUUGUAGGAACUCUUUUCCAACCAUUUGGAGUUAGUUAGACCAAAUAAAAAUGAAAAAUGAAAAAAACAAUAUUUGGCUUGUUUUGGCUUCCUGAAGAUAAUGCACGGGUAUUAGGUUAUGGGGCUAUGGUAAGGUUUAAGGUUUUUGGCGUUAGGGUUAAAAUCACUGUCCAAAACCUUUGUAGGAUCUCUUUUCCAAGCUUUUGGAGUUAGUUAGACCAAAAAAAAAAGAAAAAUGAAAAAAAAAUAUUUGGGGUGUUCGGGCUUCCUGAAGGUAAUACCCGGGUAUUAGGUUAUGGGGCUGGGGUAAGGUUUAAGGUUUUUGGCGUUAGGGUUAAAAUCACUGUCCAAAACCUUUGUAGUAACUCUUUUCCAACCUUUUGGAGUUAGUUAGACCAAAAAAAAAGAAAAAUGAAAAAAAAAUAUUUGGGGUGUUUGGGCUUCCUGAAGGUAAUACCCGGGUAUUAAGAUUUGGGGCUAGGGUAAGGUUUAAGGUUUUGGCGUCAGGGUUUAAAUCACUGUCCAAAACCUUUGUAGGAACUAUUUUCCAAGCUUUUGGAGUUAGUUAGACCAAAAAGAAAUGAAAAAUGAAAAAAAAAUAUUUGUGGUGUUCGGGCUUCCUGAAGAUAAUACACGGGUAUUAGGUUUUGGGGCUAGGGAAAGGUUUAAGGUUUUUGGCGUUAGGGUUAAAAUCACUGUCCAAAACCUUUGUAGGAACUCUUUUCCAACCUUUUGGAGUUAGUUAGACCAAAUAAAAAUGAAAAAUGAAAAAAAAAUAUUUGGGGUGUUUGGGCUUCCUGAAGGUAAUACCCGGGUAUUAAGAUUUGGGGCUGGGGUAAGGUUUAAGGUUUUUGGCGUUAGGGUUAAAAUCACUGUCCAAAACCUUUGUAGUAACUCUUUUCCAAGCUUUUGGAGUUAGUUAGACCAAAAAAAAAGAAAAAUGAAAAAAAAAUAUUUGGGGUGUUUGGGCUUCCUGAAGGUAAUACCCGGGUAUUAAGAUUUGGGGCUAGGGUAAGGUUUAAGGUUUUGGCGUUAGGGUUUAAAUCACUGUCCAAAACCUUUGUAGGAACUGUUUUCCAACCUUUUGGAGUUAGUUAGACCAAAAAGAAAUGAAAAAUGAAAAAAAAAUAUUAGUGGUGUUCGGGCUUCCUGAAGAUAAUACACCGGUAUUAGGUUUUGGGGCUAUGGUAAGGUUUAAGGUUUUUGGCGUUAGGGUUAAAAUCACUGUCCAAAACCUUUGUAGGAUCUCUUUUCCAAGCUUUUGGAGUUAGUUAGACCAAAAAAAAAGAAAAAUGAAAAAAAAAUAUUUGGGGUGUUCGGGCUUCCUGAAGGUAAUACCCGGGUAUUAGGUUAUGGGGCUAUGGUAAGGUUUAAGGUUUUGGGCGUUAGGGUUAAAAUCACUGUCCAAAACCUUUGUAGGAUCUCUUUUCCAACCUUUUGGAGUUAGUUAGACCAAAUAAAAAUGAAAAAUGAAAAAAAAAUAUUUGGGGUGUUUGGGCUUCCUGAAGGUAAUACCUGGGUAUUAAGAUUUGGGGCUAGGGUAAGGUUAAAGGUUUUGGCAUUAGGGUUUAAAUCACUGUCCAAAACGUUUGUAGGAACUCUUUUCCAACCUUUUGGAGUUAGUUAGACCAAAAAAUAAUGAAAAAUGAAAAAAAAAUAUUUGGGGUUUUCGGGCUUCCUGAAGGUAAUACCCGGGUAUUAGGUUAUGGGGCUGGGGUAAGGUUUAAGGUUUUUGGCGUUAGGGUUAAAAUCACUGUCCAAAACCUUUGUAGUAACUCUUUUCCAAGCUUUUGGAGUUAGUUAGACCAAAAAAAAAGAAAAAUGAAAAAAAAAUAUUUGGGGUGUUUGGGCUUCCUGAAGGUAAUACCCGGGUAUUAAGAUUUGGGGCUAGUGUAAGGUUUAAGGUUUUGGCGUCAGGGUUUAAAUCGCUGUCCAAAACCUUUGUAGGAACUAUUCUCCAAGCUUUUGGAGUUAGUUAGACCAAAAAGAAAUGAAAAAUGAAAAAAAAAUAUUUGUGGUGUUCGGGCUUCCUGAAGAUAAUACACCGGUAUUAGGUUUUGGGGCUAGGGAAAGGUUUAAGGUUUUUGGCGUUAGGGUUAAAGUCACUGUCCAAAACCUUUGUAGGAACUCUUUUCCAACCAUUUGGAGUUAGUUAGACCAAAUAAAAAUGAAAAAUGAAAAAAACAAUAUUUGGCUUGUUUUGGCUUCCUGAAGAUAAUGCACGGGUAUUAGGUUAUGGGGCUAUGGUAAGGUUUAAGGUUUUUGGCAUUAGGGUUAAAAUCACUGUCCAAAACCUUUGUAGGAUCUCUUUUCCAAGCUUUUGGAGUUAGUUAGACCAAAAAAAAAUGAAAAAUGAAAAAAAAAUAUUUGGGGUGUUCGGGCUUCCUGAAGGUAAUACCCGGGUAUUAGGUUAUGGGGCUAUGGUAAGGUUUAAGGUUUUGGGCGUCAGGGUUUAAAUCACUGUCCAAAACCUUUGUAGGAUCUCUUUUCCAACCUUUUGGAGUUAGUUAGACCAAAUAAAAAUGAAAAAUGAAAAAAAAAUAUUUGGGGUUUUCGGGCUUCCUGAAGGUAAUACCCGGGUAUUAAGAGUUGGGGCUAGGGUAAGGUUUAAGGUUUUGGUGUUAGGGUUUAAAUCACUGUCCAAAACCUUUGUAGGAACUGUUUUCCAACCUUUUGGAGUUAGUUAGACCAAAUAAAAAUGAAAAAUGAAAAAAAAAUAUUUGGGGUGUUUGGGCUUCCUGAAGGUAAUACCCGGGUAUUAAGAUUUGGGGCUAGGGUAAGGUUUAAGGUUUUGGCGUUAGGGUUUAAAUCACUGUCCAAAACCUUUGUAGGAACUGUUUUCCAACCUUUUGUGUUAGUUAGACCAAAAAGAAAUGAAAAAUGAAAAAAAAAAAUUAGUGGUGUUCGGGCUUCCUGAAGAUAAUACACCGGUAUUAGGUUAUGGGGCUAUGGUAAGGUUUAAGGUUUUUGGCGUUAGGGUUUAAAUCACUGUCCAAAACCUUUGUAGGAUCUCUUUUCCAACCUUUUGGAGUUAGUUAGACCAAAUAAAAAUGAAAAAUGAAAAAAAAAUAUUUGGGGUUUUCGGGCUUCCUGAAGGUAAUACCCGGGUAUUAGGUUUUGGGGCUAGGGUAAGGUUUAAGGUUUUGGCGUUAGGGUUUAAAUCACUGUCCAAAACCUUUGUAGGAACUGUUUUCCAACCUUUUGGAGUUAGUUAGACCAAAUAAAAAUGAAAAAUGAAAAAAAAAUAUUUGGGGUGUUUGGGCUUCCUGAAGGUAAUACCCGGGUAUUAAGAUUUGGGGCUAGGGUAAGGUUAAAGGUUUUGGCGUUAGGGUUUAAAUCACUGUCCAAAACGUUUGUAGGAACUCUUUUCCAACCUUUUGGCGUUAGGGUUAAAAUCACUGUCCAAAACCUUUGUAGGAUCUCUUUUCCAACCUUUUGGAGUUAGUUAGACCAAAUAAAAAUGAAAAAUGAAAAAAAAAUAUUUGGGGUGUUGGGGCUACCUGAAGAUAAUACCCGGGUAUUAAGAUUUGGGGCUAGGGUAAGGUUAAAGGUUUUGGCGUUAGGGUUUAAAUCACUGUCCAAAACCUUUGUAGGAACUCUUUUCCAACCUUUUGGAGUUAGUUAGACCAAAAAAUAAUGAAAAAUGAAAAAAAAAUAUUUGGGGUUUUCGGGCUUCCUGAAGGUAAUACCCGGGUAUUAGGUUAUGGGGCUGGGGUAAGGUUUAAGGUUUUUGGCGUUAGGGUUAAAAUCACUGUCCAAAACCUUUGUAGUAACUCUUUUCCAAGCUUUUGGAGUUAGUUAGACCAAAAAAAAAGAAAAAUGAAAAAAAAAUAUUUGGGGUGUUUGGGCUUCCUGAAGGUAAUACCCGGGUAUUAAGAUUUGGGGCUAGGGUAAGGUUUAAGGUUUUGGCGUCAGGGUUUAAAUCACUGUCCAAAACCUUUGUAGGAACUAUUUUCCAAGCUUUUGGAGUUAGUUAGACCAAAAAGAAAUGAAAAAUGAAAAAAAAAUAUUUGUGGUGUUCGGGCUUCCUGAAGAUAAUACACCGGUAUUAGGUUUUGGGGCUAGGGAAAGGUUUAAGGUUUUUGGCGUUAGGGUUAAAAUCACUGUCCAAAACCUUUGUAGGAACUCUUUUCCAACCAUUUGGAGUUAGUUAGACCAAAUAAAAAUGAAAAAUGAAAAAAACAAUAUUUGGCUUGUUUUGGCUUCCUGAAGAUAAUGCACGGGUAUUAGGUUAUGGGGCUAUGGUAAGGUUUAAGGUUUUUGGCGUUAGGGUUAAAAUCACUGUCCAAAACCUUUGUAGGAUCUCUUUUCCAAGCUUUUGGAGUUAGUUAGACCAAAAAAAAAGAAAAAUGAAAAAAAAAUAUUUGGGGUGUUCGGGCUUCCUGAAGGUAAUACCCGGGUAUUAGGUUAUGGGGCUAUGGUAAGGUUUAAGGUUUUGGGCGUUAGGGUUAAAAUCACUGUCCAAAACCUUUGUAGGAUCUCUUUUCCAACCUUUUGGAGUUAGUUAGACCAAAUAAAAAUGAAAAAUGAAAAAAAAAUAUUUGGGGUUUUCGGGCUUCCUGAAGGUAAUACCCGGGUAUUAAGAGUUGGGGCUAGGGUAAGGUUUAAGGUUUUGGCGUUAGGGUUUAAAUCACUGUCCAAAACCUUUGUAGGAACUGUUUUCCAACCUUUGGGAGUUAGUUAGACCAAAUAAAAAUGAAAAAUGAAAAAAAAAUAUUUGGGGUGUUUGGGCUUCCUGAAGGUAAUACCCGGGUAUUAAGAUUUGGGGCUAGGGUAAGGUUAAAGGUUUUGGCGUUAGGGAUUAAAUCACUGUCCAAAACGUUUGUAGGAACUCUUUUCCAACCUUUUGGCGUUAGGGUUAAAAUCACUGUCCAAAACCUUUGUAGGAUCUCUUUUCCAACCUUUUGGAGUUAGUUAGACCAAAUAAAAAUGAAAAAUGAAAAAAAAAUAUUUGGGGUGUUUGGGCUUCCUGAAGGUAAUACCCGGGUAUUAAGAUUUGGGGCUAGGGUAAGGUUAAAGGUUUUGGCAUUAGGGUUUAAAUCACUGUCCAAAACGUUUGUAGGAACUCUUUUCCAACCUUUUGGAGUUAGUUAGACCAAAAAAUAAUGAAAAAUGAAAAAAAAAUAUUUGGGGUUUUCGGGCUUCCUGAAGGUAAUUCCCGGGUAUUAGGUUAUGGGGCUGGGGUAAGGUUUAAGGUUUUUGGCGUUAGGGUUAAAAUCACUGUCCAAAACCUUUGUAGUAACUCUUUUCCAAGCUUUUGGAGUUAGUUAGACCAAAAAAAAAGAAAAAUGAAAAAAAAAUAUUUGGGGUGUUUGGGCUUCCUGAAGGUAAUACCCGGGUAUUAAGAUUUGGGGCUAGUGUAAGGUUUAAGGUUUUGGCGUCAGGGUUUAAAUCGCUGUCCAAAACCUUUGUAGGAACUAUUCUCCAAGCUUUUGGAGUUAGUUAGACCAAAAAGAAAUGAAAAAUGAAAAAAAAAUAUUUGUGGUGUUCGGGCUUCCUGAAGAUAAUACACCGGUAUUAGGUUUUGGGGCUAGGGAAAGGUUUAAGGUUUUUGGCGUUAGGGUUAAAGUCACUGUCCAAAACCUUUGUAGGAACUCUUUUCCAACCAUUUGGAGUUAGUUAGACCAAAAAAUAAUGAAAAAUGAAAAAAAAAUAUUUGGGGUUUUCGGGCUUCCUGAAGGUAAUACCCGGGUAUUAGGUUAUGGGGCUAUGGUAAGGUUUAAGGUUUUGGGCGUUAGGGUUUAAAUCACUGUCCAAAACCUUUGUAGGAUCUCUUUUCCAACCUUUUGGAGUUAGUUAGACCAAAUAAAAAUGAAAAAUGAAAAAAAAAUAUUUGGGGUUUUCGGGCUUCCUGAAGGUAAUACCCGGGUAUUAAGAGUUGGGGCUAGGGUAAGGUUUAAGGUUUUGGUGUUAGGGUUUAAAUCACUGUCCAAAACCUUUGUAGGAACUGUUUUCCAACCUUUGGGAGUUAGUUAGACCAAAUAAAAAUGAAAAAUGAAAAAAAAAUAUUUGGGGUGUUUGGGCUUCCUGAAGGUAAUACCCGGGUAUUAAGAUUUGGGGCUAGGGUAAGGUUUAAGGUUUUGGCGUUAGGGUUUAAAUCACUGUCCAAAACCUUUGUAGGAACUGUUUUCCAACCUUUUGUGUUAGUUAGACCAAAAAGAAAUGAAAAAUGAAAAAAAAAAAUUAGUGGUGUUCGGGCUUCCUGAAGAUAAUACACCGGUAUUAGGUUAUGGGGCUAUGGGUAAGGUUUAAGGUUUUUGGCGUUAGGGUUUAAAUCACUGUCCAAAACCUUUGUAGGAUCUCUUUUCCAACCUUUUGGAGUUAGUUAGACCAAAUAAAAAUGAAAAAUGAAAAAAAAAUAUUUGGGGUUUUCGGGCUUCCUGAAGGUAAUACCCGGGUAUUAAGAGUUGGGGCUAGGGUAAGGUUUAAGGUUUUGGCGUUAGGGUUUAAAUCACUGUCCAAAACCUUUGUAGGAACUGUUUUCCAACCUUUGGGAGUUAGUUAGACCAAAUAAAAAUGAAAAAUGAAAAAAAAAUAUUUGGGGUGUUUGGGCUUCCUGAAGGUAAUACCCGGGUAUUAAGAUUUGGGGCUAGGGUAAGGUUAAAGGUUUUGGCGUUAGGGUUUAAAUCACUGUCCAAAACGUUUGUAGGAACUCUUUUCCAACCUUUUGGCGUUAGGGUUAAAAUCACUGUCCAAAACCUUUGUAGGAUCUCUUUUCCAACCUUUUGGAGUUAGUUAGACCAAAUAAAAAUGAAAAAUGAAAAAAAAAUAUUUGGGGUGUUGGGGCUACCUGAAGAUAAUACCCGGGUAUUAAGAUUUGGGGCUAGGGUAAGGUUAAAGGUUUUGGCGUUAGGGUUUAAAUCACUGUCCAAAACGUUUGUAGGAACUCUUUUCCAACCUUUUGGAGUUAGUUAGACCAAAAAAUAAUGAAAAAUGAAAAAAAAAAUAUUUGGGGUUUUCGGGCUUCCUGAAGGUAAUACCCGGGUAUUAGGUUAUGGGGCUGGGGUAAGGUUUAAGGUUUUUGGCGUUAGGGUUAAAAUCACUGUCCAAAACCUUUGUAGUAACUCUUUUCCAACCUUUUGGAGUUAGUUAGACCAAAAAAAAAGAAAAAUGAAAAAAAAAUAUUUUGGGUGUUUGGGCUUCCUGAAGGUAAUACCCGGGUAUUAAGAUUUGGGGCUAGUGUAAGGUUUAAGGUUUUGGCGUCAGGGUUUAAAUCACUGUCCAAAACCUUUGUAGGAACUAUUUUCCAAGCUUUUGGAGUUAGUUAGACCAAAAAGAAAUGAAAAAUGAAAAAAAAAUAUUUGUGGUGUUCGGGCUUCCUGAAGAUAAUACACCGGUAUUAGGUUUUGGGGCUAGGGAAAGGUUUAAGGUUUUUGGCGUUAGGGUUAAAAUCACUGUCCAAAACCUUUGUAGGAACUCUUUUCCAACCAUUUGGAGUUAGUUAGACCAAAUAAAAAUGAAAAAUGAAAAAAACAAUAUUUGGCUUGUUUUGGCUUCCUGAAGAUAAUGCACGGGUAUUAGGUUAUGGGGCUAUGGUAAGGUUUAAGGUUUUGGGCGUUAGGGUUAAAAUCACUGUCCAAAACCUUUGUAGGAUCUCUUUUCCAACCUUUUGGAGUUAGUUAGACCAAAUAAAAAUGAAUAAUGAAAAAAAAAGAUUUGGGGUUUUCGGGCUUCCUGAAGGUAAUACCCGGGUAUUAAGAGUUGGGGCUAGGGUAAGGUUUAAGGUUUUGGCGUUAGGGUUAAAAUCACUGUCCAAAACCUUUGUAGGAACUGUUUUCCAACCUUUGGGAGUUAGUUAGACCAAAUAAAAAUGAAAAAUGAAAAAAAAAUAUUUGGGGUGUUUGGGCUUCCUGAAGGUAAUACCCGGGUAUUAAGAUUUGGGGCUAGGGUAAGGUUAAAGGUUUUGGCGUUAGGGAUUAAAUCACUGUCCAAAACGUUUGUAGGAACUCUUUUCCAACCUUUUGGCGUUAGGGUUAAAAUCACUGUCCAAAACCUUUGUAGGAUCUCUUUUCCAACCUUUUGGAGUUAGUUAGACCAAAUAAAAAUGAAAAAUGAAAAAAAAAUAUUUGGGAUUUUCGGGCUUCCUGAAGGUAAUACCCGGGUAUUAAGAGUUGGGGCUAGGGUAAGGUUUAAGGUUUUGGCGUUAGGGUUUAAAUCACUGUCCAAAACCUUUGUAGGAACUGUUUUCCAACCUUUGGGAGUUAGUUAGACCAAAUAAAAAUGAAAAAUGAAAAAAAAAUAUUUGGGGUGUUUGGGCUUCCUGAAGGUAAUACCCGGGUAUUAAGAUUUGGUGCUAGGGUAAGGUUAAAGGUUUUGGCGUUAGGGUUAAAUCACUGUCCAAAACGUUUGUAGGAACUCUUUUCCAACCUUUUGGAGUUAGUUAGACCAAAAAAUAAUGAAAAAUGAAAAAAAAAUAUUUGGGGUUUUCGGGCUUCCUGAAGGUAAUACCCGGGUAUUAGGUUAUGGGGCUGGGGUAAGGUUUAAGGUUUUUGGCGUUAGGGUUAAAAUCACUGUCCAAAACCUUUGUAGUAACUCUUUUCCAACCUUUUGGAGUUAGUUAGACCAAAAAAAAAGAAAAAUGAAAAAAAAAAUAUUUGGGGUGUUUGGGCUUCCUGAAGGUAAUACCCGGGUAUUAAGAUUUGGGGCUAGGGUAAGGUUUAAGGUUUUGGCGUCAGGGUUUAAAUCACUGUCCAAAACCUUUGUAGGAACUAUUUUCCAAGCUUUUGGAGUUAGUUAGACCAAAAAGAAAUGAAAAAUGAAAAAAAAAUAUUUGUGGUGUUCGGGCUUCCUGAAGAUAAUACACGGGUAUUAGGUUUUGGGGCUAGGGAAAGGUUUAAGGUUUUUGGCGUUAGGGUUAAAAUCACUGUCCAAAACCUUUGUAGGAACUCUUUUCCAACCAUUUGGAGUUAGUUAGACCAAAUAAAAAUGAAAAAUGAAAAAAAAAAUAUUUGGCUAGUUUUGGCUUCCUGAAGAUAAUGCACGGGUAUUAGGUUAUGGGGCUAUGGUAAGGUUUAAGGUUUUUGGCGUUAGGGUUAAAAUCACUGUCCAAAACCUUUGUAGGAUCUCUUUUCCAAGCUUUUGGAGUUAGUUAGACCAAAAAAAAUGAAAAAUGAAAAAAAAAUAUUUGGGGUGUUCGGGCUUCCUGAAGGUAAUACCCGGGUAUUAGGUUAUGGGGCGAUGGUAAGGUUUAAGGUUUUGGGCGUUAGGGUUAAAAUCACUGUCCAAAACCUUUGUAGGAUCUCUUUUCCAACCUUUUGGAGUUAGUUAGACCAAAUAAAAAUGAAAAAUGAAAAAAAAAUAUUUGGGGUUUUCGGGCUUCCUGAAGGUAAUACCCGGGUAUUAAGAGUUGGGGCUAGGGUAAGGUUUAAGGUUUUGGCGUUAGGGUUUAAAUCACUGUCCAAAACCUUUGUAGGAACUGUUUUCCAACCUUUGGGAGUUAGUUAGACCAAAUAAAAUUGAAAAAUGAAAAAAAAAUAUUUGGGGUGUUUGGGCUUCCUGAAGGUAAUACCCGGGUAUUAAGAUUUGGGGCUAGGGUAAGGUUAAAGGUUUUGGCGUUAGGGAUUAAAUCACUGUCCAAAACGUUUGUAGGAACUCUUUUCCAACCUUUUGGCGUUAGGGUUAAAAUCACUGUCCAAAACCUUUGUAGGAUCUCUUUUCCAACCUUUUGGAGUUAGUUAGACCAAAUAAAAAUGAAAAAUAAAAAAAAAAUAUUUGGGGUGUUUGGGCUUCCUGAAGGUAAUACCCGGGUAUUAAGAUUUGGGGCUAGGGUAAGGUUAAAGGUUUUGGCAUUAGGGUUUAAAUCACUGUCCAAAACGUUUGUAGGAACUCUUUUCCAACCUUUUGGAGUUAGUUAGACCAAAAAAUAAUGAAAAAUGAAAAAAAAAUAUUUGGGGUUUUCGGGCUUCCUGAAGGUAAUUCCCGGGUAUUAGGUUAUGGGGCUGGGGUAAGGUUUAAGGUUUUUGGCGUUAGGGUUAAAAUCACUGUCCAAAACCUUUGUAGUAACUCUUUUCCAAGCUUUUGGAGUUAGUUAGACCAAAAAAAAAGAAAAAUGAAAAAAAAAUAUUUGGGGUGUUUGGGCUUCCUGAAGGUAAUACCCGGGUAUUAAGAUUUGGGGCUAGUGUAAGGUUUAAGGUUUUGGCGUCAGGGUUUAAAUCGCUGUCCAAAACCUUUGUAGGAACUAUUCUCCAAGCUUUUGGAGUUAGUUAGACCAAAAAGAAAUGAAAAAUGAAAAAAAAAUAUUUGUGGUGUUCGGGCUUCCUGAAGAUAAUACACCGGUAUUAGGUUUUGGGGCUAGGGAAAGGUUUAAGGUUUUUGGCGUUAGGGUUAAAGUCACUGUCCAAAACCUUUGUAGGAACUCUUUUCCAACCAUUUGGAGUUAGUUAGACCAAAUAAAAAUGAAAAAUGAAAAAAACAAUAUUUGGCUUGUUUUGGCUUCCUGAAGAUAAUGCACGGGUAUUAGGUUAUGGGGCUAUGGUAAGGUUUAAGGUUUUUGGCAUUAGGGUUAAAAUCACUGUCCAAAACCUUUGUAGGAUCUCUUUUCCAAGCUUUUGGAGUCAGUUAGACCAAAAAAAAAGAAAAAUGAAAAAAAAAUAUUUGGGGUGUUCGGGCUUCCUGAAGGUAAUACCCGGGUAUUAGGUUAUGGGGCUAUGGUAAGGUUUAAGGUUUUGGGCGUCAGGGUUUAAAUCACUGUCCAAAACCUUUGUAGGAUCUCUUUUCCAACCUUUUGGAGUUAGUUAGACCAAAUAAAAAUGAAAAAUGAAAAAAAAAUAUUUGGGGUUUUCGGGCUUCCUGAAGGUAAUACCCGGGUAUUAAAAGUUGGGGCUAGGGUAAGGUUUAAGGUUUUUGGCGUUAGGGUUUAAAUCACUGUCCAAAACCUUUGUAGGAACUGUUUUCCAACCUUUGGGAGUUAGUUAGACCAAAUAAAAAUGAAAAAUGAAAAAAAAAUAUUUGGGGUGUUUGGGCUUCCUGAAGGUAAUACCCGGGUAUUAAGAUUUGGGGCUAGGGUAAGGUUAAAGGUUUUGGCGUUAGGGUUUAAAUCACUGUCCAAAACGUUUGUAGGAACUCUUUUCCAACCUUUUGGCGUUAGGGUUAAAAUCACUGUCCAAAACCUUUGUAGGAUCUCUUUUCCAACCUUUUGGAGUUAGUUAGACCAAAUAAAAAUGAAAAAUGAAAAAAAAAUAUUUGGGGUGUUUGGGCUUCCUGAAGGUAAUACCCGGGUAUUAAGAUUUGGGGCUAGGGUAAGGUUUAAGGUUUUUGGCGUUAGGGUUUAAAUCACUGUCCAAAACGUUUGUAGGAACUCUUUUCCAACCUUUUGGAGUUAGUUAGACCAAAAAAUAAUGAAAAAUGAAAAAAAAAUAUUUGGGGUUUUCGGGCUUCCUGAAGGUAAUUCCCGGGUAUUAGGUUAUGGGGCUGGGGUAAGGUUUAAGGUUUUUGGCGUUAGGGUUAAAAUCACUGUCCAAAACCUUUGUAGUAACUCUUUUCCAACCUUUUGAAGUUAGUUAGACCAAAAACAAAUGAAUAAUGAAAAAAAAAUAUUUGGGGUGUUUGGGCUUCCUGAAGGUAAUACCCGGGUAUUAAGAUUUGGGGCUAGUGUAAGGUUUAAGGUUUUGGCGUUAGGGUUUAAAUCGCUGUCCAAAACCUUUGUAGGAACUAUUCUCCAAGCUUUUGGAGUUAGUUAGACCAAAAAGAAAUGAAAAAUGAAAAAAAAAUAUUUGUGGUGUUCGGGCUUCCUGAAGAUAAUACACCGGUAUUAGGUUUUGGGGCUAGGGAAAGGUUUAAGGUUUUUGGCGUUAGGGUUAAAAUCACUGUCCAAAACCUUUGUAGGAACUCUUUUCCAACCAUUUGGAGUUAGUUAGACCAAAUAAAAAUGAAAAAUGAAAAAAACAAUAUUUGGCUUGUUUUGGCUUCCUGAAGAUAAUGCACGGGUAUUAGGUUAUGGGGCUAUGGUAAGGUUUAAGGUUUUUGGCAUUAGGGUUAAAAUCACUGUCCAAAACCUUUGUAGGAUCUCUUUUCCAAGCUUUUGGAGUCAGUUAGACCAAAAAAAAAGAAAAAUGAAAAAAAAAUAUUUGGGGUGUUCGGGCUUCCUGAAGGUAAUACCCGGGUAUUAGGUUAUGGGGCUAUGGUAAGGUUUAAGGUUUUGGGCGUUAGGGUUUAAAUCACUGUCCAAAACCUUUGUAGGAUCUCUUUUCCAACCUUUUGGAGUUAGUUAGACCAAAUAAAAAUGAAAAAUGAAAAAAAAAUAUUUGGGGUUUUCGGGCUUCCUGAAGGUAAUACCCGGGUAUUAAGAGUUGGGGCUAGGGUAAGGUUUAAGGUUUUGGUGUUAGGGUUUAAAUCACUGUCCAAAACCUUUGUAGGAACUGUUUUCCAACCUUUGGGAGUUAGUUAGACCAAAUAAAAAUGAAAAAUGAAAAAAAAAUAUUUGGGGUGUUUGGGCUUCCUGAAGGUAAUACCCGGGUAUUAAGAUUUGGGGCUAGGGUAAGGUUUAAGGUUUUGGCGUUAGGGUUUAAAUCACUGUCCAAAACCUUUGUAGGAACUGUUUUCCAACCUUUUGGAGUUUGUUAGACCAAAAAGAAAUGAAAAAUGAAAAAAAAAAAUUAGUGGUGUUCGGGCUUCCUGAAGAUAAUACACCGGUAUUAGGUUAUGGGGCUAUGGUAAGGUUUAAGGUUUUUGGCGUUAGGGUUUAAAUCACUGUCCAAAACCUUUGUAGGAUCUCUUUUCCAACCUUUUGGAGUUAGUUAGACCAAAUAAAAAUGAAAAAUGAAAAAAAAAUAUUUGGGGUUUUCGGGCUUCCUGAAG